rnacentral:rRNA from 1 species
GACGAACGCUGGCGGCGCGCUUAACACAUGCAAGUCGAACGGAAAGGCCUGCUUUCCCUUGUGGAUUGCGGGUACUCGAGUGGCGAACGGGUGAGUAACACGUGAGUGAUCUGCCCCCAACUUGGGUAUAAACCUGGGAAACUGGGUCUAAUUCCCGAAAGGACUGCAGGGUGGUGCCUGUGGUGGAAAACGAUUUUCUAGUGGUUGGGGAUGAGCUCGAGGCCUAUCAGCUUGUUGGUGGGGUAAUGGCCCACCAAGGCGGCGACGGGGAGUCAGAGUGUGAGGGGGGACAGUGACAUUGGGACUGGGAUACGGCCCAGACGCCUAGGGGAGGCAGGAGUGGGGAAUAUUGCACAAUGAGCGGAAGCCUGAUGCAGCGACGCCGCGUGGGAGAUGACGGGCUUCGGGUUGUAAACUCCUUUCGACCGCGAGGAAGCCACCUGGUUGGAAGGGUGGUGACGGUAGUGGUAGAAGAAGCACCGGCUAACUACGUG